rnacentral:rRNA from 1 species
UACGUAGGGUGCGAGUGUUAAUCGGAAUUACUGGGCGUAAAGCGUGCGCAGGCGGCUUGAUAAGUCAGAUGUGAAAUCCCCGAGCUCAACUUGGGAACUGCGUUUGAAACUAUCAGGCUAGAAUAUGUCAGAGGGGGGUAGAAUUCCACGUGUAGCAGUGAAAUGCGUAGAGAUGUGGAGGAAUACCAAUGGCGAAGGCAGCCCCCUGGGAUAAUAUUGACGCUCAUGCACGAAAGCGUGGGGAGCAAACAGG